UACAGAGGGUGCAAGCGUUAAUCGGAAUUACUGGGCGUAAAGCGCUCGUAGGCGGUUUGUUAAGUCGGAUGUGAAAUCCCUGGGCUCAACCUAGGCACUGCAUCCGAUACUGGCUAACUAGAGUGUGGGAGAGGAAGGUAGAAUUCCAGGUGUAGCGGUGAAAUGCGUAGAGAUCUGGAGGAAUACCGAUGGCGAAGGCAGCCUUCUGGCCUAACACUGACGCUGAGGUGCGAAAGCGUGGGGAGCAAACAGG
rnacentral:rRNA from 1 species